rnacentral:rRNA from 1 species
GAUGAACGCUGGCGGCGUGCUUAACACAUGCAAGUCGAACGGAAAGGCUCCUGCUUGCAGGGGUACUCGAGUGGCGAACGGGUGAGUAACACGUGGGUGAUCUGCCCUGCACUUCGGGAUAAGCCUGGGAAACUGGGUCUAAUACCGGAUAGGACGAUGGUUUGGAUGCCAUUGUGGAAAGUUUUUUCGGUGUGGGAUGAGCUGGCGGCCUAUCAGCUUGUUGGUGGGGUAAUGGCCUACCAAGGGGUCGACGGGUAGCCGGCCUGAGAGGGGGUACGGCCACAUUGGGACUGAGAUACGGCCCAGACUCCUACGGGAGGCAGCAGUGGGGAAUAUUGCACAAUGGGCGCAAGCCUGAUGCAGCGACGCCGCGUGGGGGAUGACGGCCUUCGGGUUGUAAACUCCUUUCGCUAGGGACGAAGCGCAAGUGACGGUACCUGGAGAAGAAGCACCGGCUAACUACGUG